CUCUCGGCUUUCGGCUCGGAGGAGGCCAAGGUGCAACUUUCUUCGGUCGUCCCGAAUCCGGGUUCAUCCGACACCAGCCGCCUCCACCAUGCCGCCGAAGUUCGACCCCAACGAGAUCAAAGUCGGUGCGUGCUCUAGUUGUGGCCGGGGCUGCGGGAUGGAGCAUUCCCUCGGCCCCGCCGCGUGUGCAAAGCUUUCCCCGUAUGGGGCUCUUAAAGCCAAUGCCUCCUAGAGGCCUUCCCGGUGCUGCGCCGCCCCGGCCAAGCCUCAGCCUUUCUGGGCUUUAGCUUCUUCACGUGUAGGUGGGGAGGGAGGACUGGACCACCUGUGGCGGCUUGGGAGCCCGCACGCCCUAGGUAUACCUGAGGUGCACCGGAGGUGAAGUCGGUGCCACUUCUGCCCUGGCCCCCAAGAUCGGCCCCCUGGGUCUGUCUCCAAAAAAGGUUGGUGAUGACAUUGCCAAGGCAACAGGUGACUGGAAGGGCCUGAGGAUUACAGUGAAACUGACCAUUCAGAACAGACAGGCCCAGAUUGAGGUGGUGCCUUCUGCCUCUGCCCUGAUCAUCAAAGCCCUCAAGGAACCACCAAGAGACAGAAAGAAACAGAAAAACAUUAAACACAGUGGGAAUAUCACUUUUGAUGAGAUCGUCAACAUUGCUCGACAGAUGCGGCACCGAUCCUUAGCCAGAGAACUCUCUGGAACCAUUAAAGAGAUCCUGGGGACUGCCCAGUCUGUGGGCUGUAAUGUUGAUGGCCGCCACCCUCAUGACAUCAUAGAUGACAUCAAUAGUGGUGCUGUGGAAUGCCCAGCCAGUUAAGCACAAAGGAAAAUAUUUCAAUAAAGGAUCUUUUGACAACUGGUGGA
rnacentral:sRNA from 1 species